GACGAACGCUGGCGGCGUGCUUAACACAUGCAGGUCGAACGGAAAGGCCCUGCUUUUGUGGGGUGCUCGAGUGGCGAACGGGUGAGUAACACGUGAGUAACCUGCCCUUGACUUUGGGAUAACUUCAGGAAACUGGGGCUAAUACCGGAUAGGAGCUCCUGCUGCAUGGUGGGGGUUGGAAAGUUUCGGCGGUUGGGGAUGGACUCGCGGCUUAUCAGCUUGUUGGUGGAGUAGUGGCUUACCAAGGCUUUGACGGGUAGCCGGCCUGAGAGGGUGACCGGCCACAUUGGGACUGAGAUACGGCCCAGACUCCUACGGGAGGCAGCAGUGGGGAAUAUUGCACAAUGGGCGGAAGCCUGAUGCAGCAACGCCGCGUGCGGGAUGACGGCCUUCGGGUUGUAAACCGCUUUCGCCUGUGACGAAGCGUGAGUGACGGUAAUGGGUAAAGAAGCACCGGCUAACUACGUG
rnacentral:rRNA from 1 species